rnacentral:rRNA from 1 species
AGUGAACGCUGGCGGUAGGCCUAACACAUGCAAGUCGAACGGCAGCACAGUAGGAGCUUGCUCUUACGGGUGGCGAGUGGCGGACGGGUGAGGAAUACAUCGGAAUCUACUUUUUCGUGGGGGAUAACGUAGGGAAACUUACGCUAAUACCGCAUACGACCUACGGGUGAAAGCAGGGGAUCUUCGGACCUUGCGCGAUUGAAUGAGCCGAUGUCGGAUUAGCUAGUUGGCGGGGUAAAGGCCCACCAAGGCGACGAUCCGUAGCUGGUCUGAGAGGAUGAUCAGCCACACUGGAAUUGAGACACGGUCCAGACUCCUACGGGAGGCAGCAGUGGGGAAUAUUGGACAAUGGGCGCAAGCCUGAUCCAGCCAUACCGCGUGGGUGAAGAAGGCCUUCGGGUUGUAAAGCCCUUUUGUUGGGAAAGAAAAGCAGCAGGUUAAUACCCCGCUGUUCUGACGGUACCCAAAGAAUAAGCACCGGCUAACUUCGUG